UCCCCAGUAGCUCAGUGGUAGAGCACUCGACUGUUAAUCGAUCGGUCGCUGGUUCGAAUCCGGCCUGGGGAG
rnacentral:tRNA from 1 species